rnacentral:rRNA from 1 species
CUAACAAGGAUUCCCCUAGUAACUGCGAGUGAAGCGGGAAAAGCUCAAAUUUAAAAUCUGGCAGUCUUUGGCUGUCCGAGUUGUAAUCUAGAGAAGUAUUAUCCGCGCUGGACCGUGUACAAGUCUCCUGGAAUGGAGCGUCAUAGAGGGUGAGAAUCCCGUCUUUGACACGGACUGCCAGGGCUUUGUGAUGUGCUCUCAAAGAGUCGAGUUGUUUGGGAAUGCAGCUCAAAAUGGGUGGUAAAUUCCAUCUAAAGCUAAAUAUUGGCGAGAGACCGAUAGCGAACAAGUACCGUGAGGGAAAGAUGAAAAGAACUUUGGAAAGAGAGUUAAACAGUACGUGAAAUUGCUGAAAGGGAAACGCUUGAAGUCAGUCGCGUUGGCCAGGGAUCAACCUUGCUUUUUUGCUUGGCUUACUUUCUGGUCGAUGGGUCAGCAUCAAUUUUGACUGGUGGAAAAAGUUCAAGGGAAUGUGGCAUCUUCGGAUGUGUUAUAGCCUUUGUUCGCAUACAUCGGUUGGGAUUGAGGAACUCAGCACGCCGCAAGGCCGGGUUUUUAACCACGUACGUGCUUAGGAUGCUGGCAUAAUGGCUUUAAUCGACCCGUCUUGAAACACGGACCAAGGAGUCUAACAUGCCUGCGAGUGUUUGGGUGAAAAACCCGAGCGCGUAAUGAAAGUGAAAGUUGAGAUCCCUGUCAUGGGGAGCAUUGACGCCCGGAUCUGACCUUUUGUGACGAUUCUGCGGUAGAGCAUGUAUGUUGGGACCCGAAAGAUGGUGAACUAUGCCUGAAUAGGGUGAAGCCAGAGGAAACUCUGGUGGAGGCUCGUAGCGAUUCUGACGUGCCAAAUCGGAUCCGUCAAAAAAAUUUUGG